CAACCUGGGUGGCUAGGUUAACAUGUUACAUGUGUACGACGCUCAGCUAUCCCCUCUCAGUUUAGAUGAACCGCUUACAUGCGGGGAUUGGUUCAGAUAUCACUUUUGUUUUGUUCCUCCCUGUUAGUGAGUUCUUAUUGGUUAAUCGUGAGAUGCUUCUAUAGUAAUAUUUGCUAGGUUAGAUAGUCAUUUUUUGUGCCAUACUGUCAGUGGUGUUGAGCUAGAAUAUGGAAGCUAGUUUAUACGUGUCACUAAGUUGAAAAUUGUAAACUGAAUUGUCCAUGUUCUGAUUUAUCUUUUAGAGAAAUUAUCAUGAGAACCUAGAUAGUACAUGUGAAAUGGGUUAGUAAUUAAAUAAUUAGCUGCAGUAAAAUAUUUUCAUUAUGCAGAUGCUCCCCCAGUAUUGUUAUAUUAUUUUGUAGUUCUGAUCUCGUGGCAACUCUGUUUGAGGGAAUGUGAAGAGAUUUGCAAGUGAAUUGUUGUUGUUGAACUGCAGUGGGAGUUUAAUGAGCGAUUCGACAUGUUUUUGGCAAAUUACUAAUGGAGAACUAAUUCAUUGAACUCCUUUAGGCAAUCUGAAGUGAUACUAACUAUAUGUUAAUGCAGAUUACUGUCCAAGUAAGCAGAUAUAUUACAAGUUUACAACUAAAGAUCAAAGCCUAAACGAACUUUUUAGUCCUGUGACCAUAGCGUAAUUGUAAGUAAUUGAUUUUUAGAUGGAAGUUUCUUAUUGAUCACACUAAGUUUUUCAUGCUUUCUGCAUUGUUCUAUGUUGCUUGAAGGUUUCUUCCUUCGAGUCUUUGUCGAAUAUUCUGUUUUCUUGCACCAUUUUAAUUUGUGAAGGAGUACGUACUACAAAUUUUAAUUUGUUCCUCUCUGGAUUUCAAACUUUGUGUUGAGCUAUUAUUUAUGCGUGUCCUCUUACCAAUAGUUCUCUUUUCUAAUGUAUUGAUAUGUGCUUAUUCCAAUCAAAUAUUUCAGAUGACCUUUGUUGCUCAUGAAUACGACAUGUUUAGUUUUGAUCAUAUCACUUAUUAGACAAAUACUAACGUGUAUUUUUUGUUAAGGUUCCAACCUAGAGCUCCAAGUUACUUGCAUGUCGUUCUUUGUUGCAAUGGUAGAUGGUUUUCUGUAACUCAUUCAUAAUGUUAUAUUUAUGUCUUUGUUUCUAAUAGGCUGAUUCGUAAGUCAUCUUUCAAGAAGUUGAUAUGGACAAUGGAGGAUCAGAACAACUUUAGUUGCCUUCAAGAAGUCACGAGAAAGGCAUCCAACAAAAAUCCAAGUUUUUAUGAAGGUGGGAGCUAAGAGUCACACGAACAAAGUAAAAAAGAUGUAUUCGAUGGUGAUGUAGCUUGGGUUACUUUGCAUGGGGCAUGUAACUGAGAUUUGUAAUAUGCAUGUUGUUUAGAGACUAGUUAGCUUGUAAUAUUAUGUGAAAAUUGGUCAAUGGAAAGAUGGG
rnacentral:lncRNA from 1 species